AGGAACACGAGUUAGAGCUUGAUAGGAAGCAUUUCAUUUACACUGAAAAUUUAAUUGUGCAAUUCAGUUUAACUUG
rnacentral:tRNA from 1 species